rnacentral:rRNA from 1 species
GAUGAACGCUAGCUACAGGCUUAACACAUGCAAGUCGAGGGGCAGCAUGGUCUUAGCUUGCUAAGGCCGAUGGCGACCGGCGCACGGGUGAGUAACGCGUAUCCAACCUGCCUUACACUCUUGGACAGCCUUCUGAAAGGGAGAUUAAUACAAGAUGUUAUCAUGAGUAAGCAUUUUCGCAUGAUUAAAGGUUUACCGGUGUAAGAUGGGGAUGCGUUCCAUUAGAUAGUAGGCGGGGUAACGGCCCACCUAGUCUUCGAUGGAUAGGGGUUCUGAGAGGAAGGUCCCCCACAUUGGAACUGAGACACGGUCCAAACUCCUACGGGAGGCAGCAGUGAGGAAUAUUGGUCAAUGGACGAGAGUCUGAACCAGCCAAGUAGCGUGCAGGAUGACGGCCCUAUGGGUUGUAAACUGCUUUUAGGCGGGGGUAAAGGGGCGGACGCGUUCCGCCUUUGCAAGUACCGCCAGAAAAAGGACCGGCUAAUUCCGUGCCAGCAGCCGCGGUAAUACGGAAGGUCCGGGCGUUAUCCGGAUUUAUUGGGUUUAAAGGGAGCGUAGGCGGGCUAUUAAGUCAGCUGUGAAAUCCGGCGGCUCAACCGUCGGCCUGCAGUUGAUACUGGUGGUCUUGAGUGCGCGCAGGGGUGUUGGAAUUCAUGGUGUAGCGGUGAAAUGCUCAGAUAUCAUGAAGAACUCCGAUCGCGAAGGCAGAUGCCCGGAGCGCAACUGACGCUGAGGCUCGAAAGUGCGGGUAUCAAACAGG